AACCAGCACCUCAAGUGGUCAGGGGGAUUAUUGGGCCUAAAGCAUCCGUAGCCGGCUCUGUAAGUUUUCGGUUAAAUCCAUGUGCUCAACACAUAGGCUGCCGAAAAUACUGCAUAGCUAGGGAGUGGGAGAGGUAGACGGUACUCGGUAGGAAGGGGUAAAAUCCUUUGAUCUAUUGAUGACCACCUGUGGCGAAGGCGUCUGAUCAUAACGGCUUUGACGGUGAGGAACGAAGCCCUGGGGCGCAAACGGG
rnacentral:rRNA from 1 species